AUGCUUGGCCGGGCCAUAGCUUUGUUUUUUAUUGUGAGAUUUUAAAAUCAUUUGGCACAUUUGUUCACCAUCAUUGAACAGUGUGUCGGGCGAAAGAAUUACGUCGAUAUUUCCAAGAACAAGGGCACAAUUUGAGUUUAAAGGUAAAAAAUGGCCAUAAUUGAGCUUGUCUGGGCAAUAACUAUGUUGUUUAUUGUGCGAUUUUAAAAUCGUUGGCUCUUUUGUUCACCAUCAUUUGACAGUGUGUCGCGCGAAAGAAUUACGUCGAUAUCUUCAAACUCAAGUUCGUAGUUUUAGUUCAAAGGUCAAAAAUGGCAAUAAAUUAUCUUGUCUGGGCCAUAAAUAUGUCAUUCAUUGUAAGAUUUUAAAAUGACUCUGUACAUCAAUUUUGUUCAAAGUCAUUGGAAGGCUUGUCAUGUGAAACAAUUCAAGAGUUCAAAGGUCAAAAUGGCUAUAAAUGAUAAUGGCAUAAUGAUUCUUAAAAAAUCGCCAUAAAUUGUAUUAUCUUGUUUUGUGAAGACAGCAUACAAAAUAGUCUGUGUCAAUGCGUUAUGUGGGGGUAUAUGUCACGUCUGUGACAAAGCUCCAGUUGGCAUGCAUGUGCAUCUUGUGAAGCUGCACAUAUUGAGUGGUGAAAAGUGAAGGUCAAGGUAAUCCUUCAAGGUUAAAUGUUAAAUAUAUUGCUUCUGUCCGUCCGUCUGAAAACUUUAAAAUUGGCCAUAACUUUUGAGCUCACCUGAGUGCAACAUGCUCAUGGUGAGCUUUUGUGAUUGCCUUUUGUCCGUUGUGCGUUGUAUGUCGUCAACAUUUUGCCUUGUGAACACUCUAGAUGCCACAUUUAUUGUCUGAUCUUCAUGAAAUUUUGCAGAACAUUUGUCACAUUGAUACCUCGACUGAGUUCGAAACUGGGUCAUGCUGGGUCAAAAAUUAGGUCACUAGGUCAAAAAAAAAACAAAAAACUUGUGAACACUGUAGAAGUCCAAUCUUCAUGUAACUUUGUCAAAAUGUUUGUCUAAGUGAUAUUUUGGUUGAGUUAAAAAUUGGUUCCGGUCCGUUGAAAAACAUGGCCGCCAGGGGCGGGGCAGUUUUCCUUAUAUGGCUAUAGAGAAACCUUGUGAACACUUUAGAAGUCAAAAUGUUUGCCUAAUCAUCAUGAAACUUGGUCAAAACAUUGGUUUUAUUUAUAUUUUGGACGAGUUCAAAUGGUCCAGAUCAGUGAAAAAACAUGGCCGCCAAGGGGCGGGGGAGUUUUCCUUAUGUCUUUAGUUAAACAUUGCUAACACUCUAGAGGCCACAUUUAUUGUCCAUUCUUCAUGAAAUUUGGUCAGAAGUUUGGUCUCAAUGAUAUCUUAGACGAGCUGAAAAUGGUUACGUUUGCUUGAAAAACAUGGCUGCCAAAGGGCGGGGCAUUUUUCCUUAUAUGGCUAUAUAUGGCUAUAGUAAAACGUUGUGAACACUCUAGAGGCCACAUUUAUUGUCCAAUCUUCAUGAAAUUUGGUCAGAAUAUUUGUCUCAUUAAUAUCUUGGAUGGGUUUGAAAAUGGUUAUGUUUGCUUGAAAAACAUGGCUGCCAAGGGGCGGGGCAUUUUUUCCUUAUAAAAAUGGCUAUUGUAAAAUCUUGUUAACACUCUUGAGGCCACAUUUAUAUUCCGAUCUUCAUGAAACUUGGUCAGAAUAUUCAUCCCAAAAAAUAUAGUAGACAAGUUAAAAAAUGAUGCUGGUUGGUUGAAAAACAUGUCCGCCAGGGGGUGGGGCAUUUUACCUUAUAUGGCUAUAGUAAAACUUUGUUAACACUCUAUAGGCCACAUUUAUUUUCUUAUCUUCAUGAAACUUGGUCAGAAGAUUUGUCCUAAUGAUAUCUAGGAUUAGUUCAAAAAUAGUUUUGUUUGCUUAAAAAACAUGGCCACCAGGGGGCGGGGCAUUUUUCCUAAUAUGGUUAUGUAUCAUGCUUUACUAAAACAUUGUUAACACUCUGUAGGCCACAUUUAUUUUCCGAUUAUUAUGAAACUUGGUCAGAUGAUUUGUCCAAAUGAUAUCUUGGAUGAGUUCAAAAAUGGUUCUAGUUGGUGAAAAAACAUGGCCACUAAGGGGCGUGGCAUUUUUCCUUAUAUGGCUAAAGUAAAACCCUGUUAAAACUCUAGAAGCCAUAUUUAUUGUACGAUCAUCAUGACACUUUGUCAGAAGAUUUGUCCCAAUGAUAUUUGGACAAGUUUGAAAUUGGUUCCAGUUGCUAAGAAAAACAUGGCCACCAGUGGGCGGGGCAUUUUUCCUUAUAUGGACUUAUGAAUCUUCUUGAAACUUUGUCAGUAUAUUAGUUUAAAUGAUAUCUUGGAUGUGUAUUUCACGUUGACAUUUGAAGCUUUAACUUUGUAUGAUUCUAAAUAUGUGUCAAUGCUGUCAGUUGAAUUUUGCAAUAUGAAGUUUUACAUUUUUUGUAGAUUAAAUAAUUUGUAAAAUGUUGCAGUUUCGUCAAUCAGUUUUAUAAGAUAUUGAGCUUUAGUUAUGAUGCAGAUUGUAAGAUUCUUAAUAUCUUUCAAUAUUGUGGAUAAGUUUUUGAGAUAUCAAGCUUUGAGUUUUAUGCAAAUUGUAUGAUUUUAAAAUGUUUCAAUGGUGUUGAUCAGUGUAAUGAAGAUUGCAUAAUUUUUAUGCUUUAAUACUGUCUAUUGGUUUUCAAAAUGAAAGACUUUGAUUUUGUAAGUGCACUUUUAUCUCCUGAAAGAUUCUUUUCUAGUGUUUAGUUUAUAUUUUAAGGCUGUUUGCAAACUCGAAGUGAAAACAGUUCUAUUACAAUUUGGUAAGGACAUGACAUUGCAUAUCUGAUUUUAAAAUGUACUUUGCUGGCAACGUGUAAUUUUCUGAAAUGUCUUAGUAAGACUGUUGUUUGCAAUCAAAAGGUCUGUGCUUCAAAUACAGGGUAAUGCAUGUUUUUUGUCCAAAUUUAUGGCGAUUCAGACAUUGUUCUAUGUAAAUUUGGGGUUUGCUUGAAGGUUCAGUCUAUUUUUAUGUCCCUCACUAUAGUAGUGGGGGACAUAUUGUUUUUGUCCUGUCUGUUGGUUGGUUGGUUGGUUGAUCUGUUUACGCCAACUUUAACAUUUGCAAUAACUUUUGCAAUAUUGAAGAUAGCAACUUGAUAUUUGGCAUGCAUAUGUAUCUCAUAGAGCUGCACAUUUUAAUUUUCUGAAAGGUCAAGGUCAGAGGUCAAAUAUAUGUGGCCAAAAUCGCUCAUUUUAUGAAUGCUUUUGCAAUAUUGAAGAUAGCAACUUCAUAUUUGGCAAGCAUGUGUAUCUCAUGGAGCUGCACAUUUUGAGUGGUGAAAGGUCAAGGUCAUAAUUCAAUGUCAUAGGUCGAAUAUAUGGCUUCAAAGCGGCGCAGUAAGGGGGAUUGUGUUUUAUGAACACAGCUCUUGUUGUUAACUGCCUUUUUAGUCCCUUACCAGUGUUUCACUAAAGUCCGUGUACUUUGGACUCAUUUCAAGUUGACAUUUGAAGCUUUAACUUUGUAUGAUUCUAAAUAUGUGUCAAUGCUGUCGGUUGAAUUUUGAAAUAUGAAGUUUUUCAUUUUUUGUAGAUUAAAUAAUUUGUAAAAUGUUGCAGUUUAGUCAAUCAGUUUUAUAAGAUAUUGAGCUUUAGUUAUGAUGCAGAUUGUAAGAUUCUUAAUAUCUUUCAAUAUUGUGGAUAAGUUUUUGAGAUAUCAAGCUUUGAAUUUUAUGCAAAUUGUAUGAUUUAAAAUGUUUUAAUUUGUUGAUCAGUGUACUGAAGAUUGUAUACUUUUUAUAUGUUAUAAUUCUGUCUAUUGGUUUUCAAAAUGAAAGACUUUGAUUUUGUAAGUGCACUUUUAUCUCAUUAUGCCCCCCUUCGAAGAAGAGGGGGUAUAUUGCUUUGCUCAUGUCGGUCGGUCUGUCGGUAUGUCAGUCUGUCGGUCCGUCCACCAGGUGGUUGUCAGACGAUAACUCAAGAACGCUUGGGCCUAGGAUCAUGAAACUUCAUAGGUACAUUGAUCAUGACUCGCAGAUGACCCCUAUUGAUUUUGAGGUCACUAGGUCAAAGGUCAAGGUCACGGUGACCCGAAAUAGUAAAAUGGUUUUCGGAUGAUAACUCAAGAACGCAUAUGCCUAGGAUCAUGAAACUUCACAGGUAGAUUGAUCAUUGCUCACAGAUGACCCUUAUUGAUUUUAAGGUCACAAGGUCAAGGUCACGGUGACCCGAAAUAGUAAAAUGAUUUUCGGAUGAUAACUCAAGAACGCUUUUGCCUAGGAUCAUGACACUUCAUAGGUACAUUGAUCGUGACUCACAGAUGACCCCUAUUGAUUUUCAGGUCACUAGGUCAAAGGUCAAGGUCACAGUGACAAAAAACGUAUUCACACAAUGGCUGCCACUACAACGGACAGCCCAUAUGGGGGGCAUGCAUGUUUUACAAACAGCCCUUGUUAAAGAUUCUUUUCUAGUGUUUAGUUUAUAUUUUAAGGCUGUUUGCAAACUCGAAGUGAAAACCGCUCUAGUACAAUUUGGUAAGGACAUGACAUUGCAUAUCUGAUUUAAAAAUGUACUUUGCUGGCAACGUGUAAUUUUCAGAAAUGUCUUAGUAAGUAAGACUGUUGUUUGCAAUCAAAAGGUAUGUGCUUCAAAUCCAGGAAAAUGCAUGUUUUUUGUCCAAAUUUAUGUCAAUUCAGACAUUGUUCUGUGUAAAUAUGGGGUUUGCUUGUAGGAUCAGUCUAUUUUUAUGUCCCCCACUAUAGUAGUGGGGGACAUGUUGUUUUUGCUCUGUCGGUCUGUUGAUUGGUUGGUUGGUCUGUUUAUGCCAACUUUAACAUUUUGCAAUAACUUGCAAUAUUGAAAGUAGCAACUUGAUAUUUGGCAUGCAAAUGCAUCUCCUGAAGCUGCACAUUAUCAUUGGUGAAAGGUCAAGGUCAUCCUUCAAGGUCAGAGGUCAAAUAUAUGUGCCCUUAAUCGCUCAUUUUAUGAAUACUUUUGCAAUAUUGAAGAUAGCAACUUGAUAUUUUGCAAGCAUGUGUAUCUCAUUGAGCUGCACAUUUUGAGUGUUGAAAGGUCAAGGUCAUCCUUCAAGGUCAGAGGUCAAAUAUAUGUGGCCCAAAUCGCUUAUUUUAUUAAUACUUUUGCAAUAUUGAAGAUAGCAACUUGAAAUUUGGCAUGCAUGUGUAUCUCAUGGAGCUGCAAAUUUUGAGUGUUGAAAGGUCAAAGUCAUCCUUCAAGGUCAGAGGUUAAAUAUAUGUGGCCCAAAUCGCUUAUUUUAUGAAUACGUUUGCACUAUUGAAGAUAGCAACUUGAUAUUUGGCAUGCAUAUGUAUCUCAUAGAGCUGCACAUUUUGAGUGGUGAAAGGUCAAGGUCAUCCUUCAAGGUCAAAUAUAUGGGUCAAAAUUGCUCAUGUUAUGUUACUUCUGCAAUAUUGAAGCUAGCAAUUUUAUAUUUGACAUGCAUGUGUAUCUCAUGGAGCUGCACAUUUUGAGUGGUGAAGGGUCAAGGUCAUCCUUCAAGGUCAAACGUUAUAUAAGGGGACAUUGGGUUUCACAAACGCAUCUUGUUGUGUAUGUAAUUAAUUUUGCUUAAUUUUUGUGAUCCCCCGCCAACAGCGGAGGGAUAUUAAUUUGGCAUUGUCCGUCUUUCCGUCUGUCCGUCCGGCACUUUUGUGUCCGGAACCAUAUUUUGGAAGUGCUUUGGCAGAUUUCAUUGAAACUUGGCAUGAGUAUAUAUAUAUAUGGAUAAGAGGAUGAUGCACGCCAAAUGGCAUUGUACAUCCUUGAAUAAUAGCGGAGUUAUGACCCUUUGUAUUUGAAAAAAAUGCUUUUUUUGUGUGUCCAGAGCCAUAACUUGUAUCCAGAAGUAUAAUGGCGGGGGAUAUCAAUUCAACGAAUUUGCUUGUUAAAUCAGUUUUUAUUUUCAUGAUAAUCAUUUAGUUCGUACUGCAACUUAUGAUGGAUUGUUACUACUAUCUCCAAUUAUUUGUUUGUCAUGGGUCCGUCACCAUUUAUCUCUUAUAUAAUACUUGAAUUGAGCAUUUCACAAUCUGACAAUCAUGCAUAUCAUUUAUUAGUUUCAUAAUAAAACGUCUGACAAGGGUCAGAUAAUUUUAA